rnacentral:sRNA from 1 species
GCUUUUUAGUCUCCUCCAUGGAUGAACAACCUGAUUGAUUAUCUAUUACCAAAUGGUCAGCCCUAAAAACAUACCUUCAGGCAACACUAAAGAUACUCAACAUGCUGUAUUGAGUCUUUUCUUCAUAAGCCAAAUCCUAGAAGCCAUGUCCUCUAUAACAGCAGAAGUGCAGCAGGCCAAGAUGAUAGAAACUGAAGAAGCAUGUUGAAUGCCACAUGCCCUGGCUUUUGCUGCUAGGAAACUGGGAACAGCAGGAAGCCAUGUUGCAUCACAUUCACACUUGAAACAAAACAGGAAGAAGUUCUACCGCCUCGAAGCACGUAUAAACAAGCAGAGACAACUCUUCUACUCUCUUCAGUGUCCUGCGUCUAUACAACCCAAGACAAUGGCUCCCCUCGGAGUACUGUGAGUCCUCUGUACUGAAUAAUGCCUCUUCAUUUUGGGAACUACCUGCUCCCCCAGGAGACCCAAGGCUCUCCAAGGUGAUGAAUCCACUAGAAGAACGAAAUGAAUCCAAGCCACGAGGAGUUGCAAAAAUCCCAGGAUGCCUGUCACCCUGUGCUCUCACUUUUAUUACAGAAGAAGCUCUGCUAAAAUAAAGGCCCAGCCCUGAUAUAUCAUUCUCUAAUGCCACAAGAACUGUAUAUAAAACACUAUGAAUCUUUUAAUUGCUUUUGACUUUCUGAAAGGUAUUAUUAUGUAAGUUGAUAUGUUUCAGAACUGGUUUUUAUUUAUUAAAAGUCAUUACUUUUUA